rnacentral:rRNA from 1 species
AGAGUUUGAUCAUGGCUCAGAGUGAACGCUGGCGGCAGGCCUAACACAUGCAAGUCGAACGGCAGCACAGGGGAGCUUGCUCCUUGGGUGGCGAGUGGCGGACGGGUGAGGAAUACAUCGGAAUCUGCCUUAUCGUGGGGGAUAACGUAGGGAAACUUACGCUAAUACCGCAUACGACCUACGGGUGAAAGCGGAGGACCGCAAGGCUUCGCGCGAUAAGAUGAGCCGAUGUCGGAUUAGCUAGUUGGCGGGGUAAUGGCCCACCAAGGCGACGAUCCGUAGCUGGUCUGAGAGGAUGAUCAGCCACACUGGAACUGAGACACGGUCCAGACUCCUACGGGAGGCAGCAGUGGGGAAUAUUGGACAAUGGGCGCAGGCCUGAUCCAGCCAUGCCGCGUGUGUGAAGAAGGCCUUCGGGUUGUAAAGCACUUUUGUCCGGAAAGAAAAGCUUCGGGUUAAUACCCCGGGGUCCUGACGGUACCGGAAGAAUAAGCACCGGCUAACUUCGUGCCAGCAGCCGCGGUAAUA